rnacentral:rRNA from 1 species
CAUCCGCGCUAGCGAUAGCUAAUUUCCUCGAAAAGAUAUAAAAGUGUCGGGAAAAAUAUAAUUUAUAAUAUGAAUUGUUAUAUAUACAUAUAUUUUACUAAUUUUUUUGAGGAUAAGCUCAAAAAAAAGUUAAGGAUUAUUCUCAAUUAAGUUUGCUAUAUGGGCUUAAAAUUGGCCACUAUAAAAGUUUUUUACAAAAUAGUAAUUUUAGUCUUACAGAUAAAUAUAAUUUAAACUAACUUUUUACGGGGAUAAAAACUUUAAUUUAAAAAAGUUUUAUGCCUAUGCUAGAAUGAGUAUUAAAAUUUAGUUAUAGAAGAUUUAUUUGUGUCUUCUUUAGAAAUAAUUAAAAAAAUUAAUUAAUUAGAAGGAAUUCGGCAAAUUUAGUUGUUUCGCCUGUUUAUCAAAAACAUGGCUCUUUGAUUAUACAAAUAUAAAGAGUCGGGCCUGCCCAGUGAAAAUUUUUAACGGCCGCGGUACUCUGACCGUGCAAAGGUAGCAUAAUCAUUUGCCUUAUAAUUGAAGGCUAGUAUGAAUGGUUUAACGAGAGCAACACUGUCUCCUUUUUAAUUUCAAGAAUUUAACUUUUAGGUGAAGAGGCCUAAAU